rnacentral:miRNA from 1 species
CGACUACUAUAUUUUUAUGAGUAU